rnacentral:rRNA from 1 species
UACGAAGGGGGCUAGCGUUGUUCGGAAUUACUGGGCGUAAAGCGCACGUAGGCGGACAUUUAAGUCAGGGGUGAAAUCCCGGGGCUCAACCCCGGAACUGCCUUUGAUACUGGGUGUCUUGAGUGUGGAAGAGGUGAGUGGAAUUGCGAGUGUAGAGGUGAAAUUCGUAGAUAUUCGGAGGAACACCAGAAGCGAAGGCGGCUCACUGGCCCGAUACUGACGCUGAGGCGCGAAAGCGUGGGGAGCAAACAGGG